CGCACAGCCGUUCGAGGCUCCAUCCAGCAAGUUACCCACGAGCCUGAGCGGCAGGACUCAGCCAUCCACCUGCGCGUGAGCAGACUCUAUCGGCAGAAAAGCAGGGUCUUCGAGCCGGUGCCCGAGGGUGACGGCCACUGGCAGGGGCGCGUCAGGACGCUGCUGGAGUGUGGCGCGCGGCUCGGCUGUGCCCCACGCUUCAAGGACUUCCAGAGGAUGUACAGGGAUGCCCAGGAGAGGGGGCUGAACCCUUGUGAGGUUGGCACGGACUGACUCCGUGGGCCGCUGCCCUUCCUCUCCUGAUGAGUCACAGGCUGCGGUGGGCGCUGCGGUCCUGGUGGGGCCGUGCGGUGAGGGCCGCGCGCUGGGAGCCGCAUGCCCUGGGCCCAGGCCUGACCCUGGUACCGAAGCUGUGGACGUUCUCGCCACACUCAACCCCAUGAGCUUCCAGCCAAGGAUGCCCUGGCCGAUUGGAAAUGCUGUAAAAUGCAAACUAAGUUAUUAUAUUUUUUUUUGGUAAAAAAGAAAUGUCCAUAGGAAACAAA
rnacentral:lncRNA from 1 species